GGGGGCGACCGGUUUCGACGGGUGUAGACGAGGUUGAGGUAGCGUGCCGAGGUCCCAGACACCUCGUUAAUCCUUUGGGAAAUUUUGUAACCGCGAACGAUAACUUCGCUCUGGCUGCGUAAUCGGUAUAAACUGAUUGCUGCACCCGUCCUUUGAUCGGCCCGCCCGAGGCGGUUCAAAGGGCGUCAUCAAAUCGGGCUGGCCUGUCGGUGGUGUCGUGACGCCGCGGGCGAGAUAUCUUGCGACUGGUCCGGUUGUGGCGGUUCGCCAGCCACGAACGCGACGAGAAGGGGCAACCCGAAAGAGCGAAAUACGCACGUAGACGCUUCGGCUGAGCUAUUCUCGGACGCGGGUUCGAGUCCCGCCGCCUCCAUUA
rnacentral:tmRNA from 1 species